rnacentral:rRNA from 1 species
UACGUAGGGGGCAAGCGUUGUCCGGAUUUAUUGGGCGUAAAGAGCGUGUAGGCGGCCAGGUAGGUCUGCUGUGAAAACUCGAGGCUUAACCUCGAGCUGUCGGCGGAAACCAUCUGGCUAGAGUCCGGAAGAGGAGAAUGGAAUUCCCGGUGUAGCGGUGAAAUGCGCAGAUAUCGGGAAGAACACCAAUGGCGAAGGCAGCUCUCUGGGACGGUACUGACACUGAGACGCGAAAGCGUGGGGAGCGAACAGG